UCAAUUCAAUUCAAUUCAAUUCAAGUUUAUUUGUAUAGCGCUUUUUACAAAAUAAAUCGUUACAAAGCAACUUUACAGAAAAUUAUGUUUCUACAAUAUUUAGUAGUAGCUAGUAGUUUGUGCACAUUUGACAGGAUUUUAGAAAAAAUAAUAAUAAUAAUAAUACAAGACGUAGUCAGCUAGACGAUGAACUAUCAAUAUUAUUAAUUAAGUUAUUAUAUGAUUCAGUCACACAUUUAGCAAUAAUUGUUAGUUCUGUUUGUUGAUUCAAGGUAGCAUCAUCUGGGGUCCUCUGAGGGUCAGCAUCAUCUCUUCUCAGGUGUUCUGGAUUCAGACUGGAGCUUGUUUAAAUCCUAGUUACCACGGGAUGUAAAUCCCCUGGCGAAACAUAGAAACAAAAUACAGACAUCAUUAGCAUAGCUGCUGAUCCAACAAAGUAAAAUUAGUUUAACCCAAGCUAAUGAAUAAAAAUGCAACUUUGAACAGAUGCAACUACACUCUUUGCAAUUGUAUGUGAAUGUGUGAGACUUAUGGUCAUGGUUAUAGGGAAAUAUCAAGAAGAACAAAGUGCAGUAAACGGUAAAACUGUUUGCACUACAAACCAGUUCGUUCAUAAUUAAGACAAUACAUUAAAAAUAACAUAGUAAGAUACAGCAGUUUGCAACAGUACAGCAGUUUGUACAGCUAAUAUAGCUGGAAUGACACAGAGAGCCAGACACAUUAAAUUUACAAAUGUCCGCGCCCCCUCUUACAGAAAAAAAUAAGGGGCAUAUGUUUAUUCAUAUGUUUAUUUAUGUAACGUAAGCGUGUGACUUUUAAUUCGUGACGUGCUUUCAUGGGCGUGCGCGCGGACCGGAUGGAGUUGCCAUGGAAACGGAGCGCAACACUGCAAAUGUCACGAGGAAACACCCCGUUUCUCGCUGAUUUCACUGUUUUCAGGAAUGGUUUAAUGUCUUCGAAAAGUCCGUUAGCAUUUCUACCGUUUUCAGACGACGUAUCGUCAGAAGGGAGUGUCCAAGAUUUUAAUAUUUCUGAAGGGAGCUGCUGGCAGAGAUGUAGGAAGCGCUGAAAAGGUUAAGUAAUCUAAUAUGCAUGUUUUUCACAACAUAUAUCGCAAUGAAUUUGUUAUUUUAUUUAUUUAUUUUUUGCAUUUCACCUGCUCUAGCUGUUUCCAUCUAAUAAACCUGGAACUGCAGACUAAAUAUUGUUGGCUCUGUGUCAAAUUGCUUGUUUUGUUCCUAGAUUCUCCAGUGCUGAUGGCCUGCUGCAUCCAGCAGAGUCGGAGUGAACCUACUGUAAGACAACAUCUCCAAGAUGCUAUUGACCACAAGACUAGUACAAUGUCCAUCCCAGGGUUAUUAGGCACAUGACUUGCAGGACGUGUGAGGACUUCAGAUGAUACCAGUACUCAAAAGACCUUAGAUGAUGGCAACUAUAGAUGGACAUACAAACUACCGCCACUGCAAAAAAGAUUCUAAUUUGAAAGAAGUUUAUAAUGCAUGUUCGCUACUCCCAAUUCAGAAGACUGAAUCAGCCUGUGUAUCUGAAUGUUUCUCAUACUCGCUCCUCUCUGCCACGUCUGAAUUUGGGAUUUUCCUUAGCUGUCAGUUAUAAACGUCAAAAUUAAAAGAAAUAAACAUUUGAAAUGUAUCAGUCUGUGUGUAAUGAAUGAAUAUAAUAUACAAGUUUCACUUUUUGAAUGGAAUUAGUGAAAUAAAUCAACUUUUUGAUGAUAUUCUAAUUAUAUGACCAGCACCUGUAUAUCAUUGCUCUUUUGUUGAUUUUGAUUGCUUCCAUUGUCCUAAUUUGUAAGUUGCUUUGGACAGAAAAGUGUCUGCUAAAUGUAAAUGUAAUGUUAAUGUGUAUUUAACUAUAUUUAUAAAUAUUUAUCUGUAUUUUUUAUUUUGUAAUAAUGUAAAUGUAUUUGUUUUAUAUCUAUACAUGCAGUUGUAUUCAUGUAUGUAUAUUUAUUUGUCUAAUUUUUAUAUUUUAAUAAAGCAGUUUA